rnacentral:rRNA from 1 species
CGACAGGCCUAACACAUGCAAGUCGAGGGGCAGCGAAGAGGUAGCAAUACCUUUGUCGGCGACCGGCGCACGGGUGAGUAACACGUAUGCAAUCCACCUGUAACAGGGGGAUAACCCGGAGAAAUCCGGACUAAUACCCCAUAAUAUGGGCGCUCCGCAUGGAGAGCCCAUUAAAGAGAGCAAUUUUGGUUACAGACGAGCAUGCGCUCCAUUAGCCAGUUGGCGGGGUAACGGCCCACCAAAGCGACGAUGGAUAGGGGUUCUGAGAGGAAGGUCCCCCACAUUGGAACUGAGACACGGUCCAAACUCCUACGGGAGGCAGCAGUGAGGAAUAUUGGUCAAUGGUCGGCAGACUGAACCAGCCAAGUCGCGUGAGGGAAGACGGCCCUACGGGUUGUAAACCUCUUUUGUCGGAGAGUAAAGUACGCUACGUGUAGUGUAUUGCAAGUAUCCGAAGAAAAAGCAUCGGCUAACUCCGUGCCAGCAGCCGCGGUAAUACGGAGGAUGCAAGCGUUAUCCGGAUUUAUUGGGUUUAAAGGGUGCGUAGGCGGCACGCCAAGUCAGCGGUGAAAUUUCCGGGCUCAACCCGGAGUGUGCCGUUGAAACUGGCGAGCUAGAGUACACAAGAGGCAGGCGGAAUGCGUGGUGUAGCGGUGAAAUGCAUAGAUAUCACGCAGAACCCCCGAUUGCGAAGGCAGCCUGCUAGGGUGAAACAGACGCUGAGGCACGAAAGCGUGGGUAUCGAACAGGAUUAGAUACCCUGGUAGUCCACGCAGUAAACGAUGAAUACUAACUGUUUGCGAUACAAUGUAAGCGGUACAGCGAAAGCGUUAAGUAUUCCACCUGGGGAGUACGCCGGCAA